UAGCUCAGCUGGUAGAGCGCCACGUUUACACCGUGGAUGUCGUCGGUUCGUUUCCCUCG
rnacentral:tRNA from 1 species